GCUUACGGCCACACCUCCCUGAGCACGCCCGAUCUCGUCUGAUCUCGGAAGCUAAGCAGGGGUCGGCCCGGUUAGUACUUGGAUGGGAGACCAACUGGCAAUACCAGAUGCUGUAAGCC
rnacentral:rRNA from 1 species